rnacentral:rRNA from 1 species
AGCGAACGCUGGCGGCAGGCUUAACACAUGCAAGUCGAACGCCCCGCAAGGGGAGUGGCAGACGGGUGAGUAACACGUGGGAACGUACCCUUUGGUUCGGAAUAACUUGGGGAAACUCAAGCUAAUACCGGAUAAGCCCUUAUGGGGAAAGGUUUACUGCCGAAGGAUCGGCCCGCGUCUGAUUAGCUAGUUGGUGAGGUAACGGCUCACCAAGGCGACGAUCAGUAGCUGGUCUGAGGGGAUGAUCAGCCACACUGGGACUGAGACAAGGCCCAGACUGCUACGGGAGGCAGCAGUGGGGAAUUUUGGACAAUGGGGGCAACCCUGAUCCAGCCAUGCCGCGUGAGUGAUGAAGGCCUUAGGGUUGUAAAGCUCUUUUACCCGGGACGAUAAUGACUGUACCGGGAGAAUAAGCCCCGGCUAACUUCGUGCCAGCCGCCGCCGUAA